rnacentral:rRNA from 1 species
AAGGAAUAUUGCUCAAUGGGAGAAAUCCUGAAGCAGUAACGCCGCGUGGAGGAUGAAGGGUCUAUGACUUGUAAACUCCUGUAAAGAAGGAAAAAAUUCCCAUUAGAUGGGAGAUGAUGGUACUUCUGGAGUAAGCCCCGGCUAACUACGUGCCAGCAGCCGCGGUAAUACGUAGGGGGCAAGCGUUGUCCGGAUUUACUGGGUGUAAAGGGUGCUCAGGCGGAUUUGUAAGUCAGAGGUGAAAUCUUACAGCUUAACUGUGAAACUGCCUUUGAUACUGCAAGCCUAGAGUAUGGAAGAGAGUGAUGGAAUAUCUGGUGUAGCAGUGAAGUGCGUAGAUAUCAGAUAGAACACCAAUGGCGAAGGCAGUCACUUGGUCCAUUACUGACGCUAAAGCACGAAAGCGUGGGUAGCAAACA